UACGGAGGGUGCGAGCGUUGUCCGGAAUCAUUGGGCGUAAAGGGCGCGUAGGUGGCGCGGUAAGCGUGCGGUGAAAGCCUGGGGCUCAACCCCGGGUCGGCCGUGCGAACUGCUGGGCUUGAGCACUGUAGAGGCAGGCGGAAUUCCGGGUGUAGCGGUGGAAUGCGUAGAGAUCCGGAAGAACACCGGUGGCGAAGGCGGCCUGCUGGGCAGUUGCUGACACUGAGGCGCGACAGCGUGGGGAGCAAACCGG
rnacentral:rRNA from 1 species